rnacentral:rRNA from 1 species
GUGGGGAAUCUUGCGCAAUGGGCGAAAGCCUGACGCAGCCAUGCCGCGUGAAUGAUGAAGGUCUUAGGAUUGUAAAAUUCUUUCACCGGGGACGAUAAUGACGGUACCCGGAGAAGAAGCACCGGCUAACUUCGUGCCAGCAGCCGCGGUAAUACGAAGGGGGCUAGCGUUGCUCGGAAUUACUGGGCGUAAAGGGCGCGUAGGCGGAGCGUUAAGUCAGGGGUGAAAUCCCAGAGCUCAACUCUGGAACUGCCCUUGAUACUGGCGAUCUUGAGUGUGAGAGAGGUAUGUGGAACUCCGAGUGUAGAGGUGAAAUUCGUAGAUAUUCGGAAGAACACCAGUGGCGAAGGCGACAUACUGGCUCAUUACUGACGCUGAGUCGCGAAAGCGUGAGGAGCAAACAGGAUUAGAUACCCUUGUAGUCC